rnacentral:rRNA from 1 species
UCCAGACUCCUACGGGAGGCAGCAGUGGGGGAUAUUGCACAAUGGGGGGAACCCUGAUGCAGCGACGCCGCGUGGGUGAAGGAGUGCUUCGGCAUGUAAAGCCCUAUCGGCAGGGAAGAAGCAAGAUGGUACAUGACUAAGAAGCCCCGGCUAACUACGUGCCAGCAGCCGCGGUAAUACGUAGGUGGCAAGAGUUGUCCGGAUUUACUGGGUGUAAAGGGCGUGUAGCCGGGCUGACAAGUCAGAUGUGAAAUCCGGGGGCUCAACCCCCGAGCUGCAUUUGAAACUGUUGGUCUUGAGUAUCGGAGAGGCAGGCGGAAUUCCUGGUGUAGCGGUGAAAUGCGUAGAUAUCAGGAGGAACACCGGCGGCGAAGGCGGCCUGCUGGACCGUGACUGACGUUGAGGCUCGAGAGCGUGGGGAGCAAACAGGAUUAGAUACCCUCGUA